UAACGCGAAGAACCUUACCAGCUCUUGACAUGGGUAGUAUGGACCUGGGCGACUGGGUCCUUCAGUUCGGCUGGCUACCACACAGGUGCUGCAUGGCUGUCGUCAGCUCGUGUCGUGAGAUGUUGGGUUAAGUCCCGCAACGAGCGCAACCCUCAUCUUCAGUUGCCAUCAGGUUAAGCUGGGCACUCUGGGGAAACUGCCGGUGACAAGCCGGAGGAAGGCGGGGAUGACGUCAAGUUCUCAUGGCCUUUAUGGGCUGGGCUACACACGUGCUACAAUGGCGGUGACAGUGGGUUCUGCGCGAAGGGGCGACCCGGAGCCAAUCCCCAAAAGCCGUCUCAGUUCGGAUUGCACUCUGCAACUCGAGUGCAUGAAGCUGGAAUCGCUAGUAAUCGCGGAUCAGCACGCCGCGGUGAAUACGUUCCCGGGUCUUGUACACACCGA
rnacentral:rRNA from 1 species